rnacentral:rRNA from 1 species
UACAGAGGUCUCAAGCGUUGUUCGGAUUCAUUGGGCGUAAAGAGCGUGUAGGCGGCCCGAUAAGUCCGCUGUGAAAGUCCAGGGCUCAACCCUGGAAUGCCGGUGGAUACUGUCGGGCUCGAAUCCGGAAGAGGUGAGUGGAAUUCCUGGGUGUAGCGGUGAAAUGCGCAGAUAUCAGGAGGAACACCAAUGGCGAAGGCAGCUCACUGGGACGGUAUUGACGCUGAGACGCGAAAGCGUGGGGAGCAAACAGG